UGCGGGCAUGACAAGUGGCAAGUCGCCAGUCUCAUAAGCUGGAGCAUUCGGUUCGAUUCCGAAGCCCGCGACCA
rnacentral:tRNA from 1 species